CGGUAACGCCUUACAACUGCAACCUUUCACCAUAUCAUUAUACAGUAGCCACGAUGGUGACAGGACUGAGUGGAUAAAUCGUGUAUCACAGUGUAAACACGCGAAGGGAGAAGAGGGCACAUGGACUGUAUCUGGGAAGACGUUGGACUUGGACUACAGUGGGCAGCACAAGGUUAACGUAACAGAUCGAAGCGGCCAAACCAUAACCUUUCAACUAUUCCAAGGGGUACACUACACGCCAUUGUUUAAAGUCGAAGUACUUCAACAAAUCAAAGGUUUCAACAUGAGGCCAGAUGACAUAUACUUCACCGGAUAUCCUCGUACAGGGACAAACUGGACAUUUGAAAUGACAAGCAUGCUUCUUAAUGGUAAAGCUGAAACCAUC